rnacentral:tRNA from 1 species
GCGUUUGUAGUUAAAUUGGAUAUAACACUAGUCUACGAAAUUGGUAUUUUGAGUUCGAAUCUCAGCAAACGUU